rnacentral:rRNA from 1 species
AUUGAACGCUGGCGGCAGGCCUAACACAUGCAAGUCGAACGAGUGGCGGACGGGUGAGUAAUGUCUGGGAAACUGCCUGAUGGAGGGGGAUAACUACUGGACACGGUAGCUAAUACCGCAUACCAUCGGAUGUGCCCAGAUGGGUUUAGCGAGUAGGUGGGGUAAAGGCUCACCUAGGCGACGAUCCCUAGCUGGUCUGAGAGGAUGACCAGCAACACUGGAACUGGGACACGGUCCAGAGUCCUAGGGGAGGCAGCAGGGGGGAAUAGUGCACAAUGGGGGCAAGCCUGAUGCAGCCAGGCCGCGUGUAUGAAGAAGGCCUUCGGGUUGUAAAGUACUUUCAGCGGGGAGGCGUUACCCGCAGAAGAAGCACCGGCUAACUCCGUGCCAGCCGCCGCGGUAAUAC